GUAGCAAACUGCCUAGAGGAGAAGGUACACAGAGCAGUGACAUUUUCUCCAGCUCUAGGAGAGUGAGUAAUGAUUUUCCAGGAGAGGCAUGCUAUUUACAAGCGUGGAGUCCUCAGGGACUGGCGGUGCGUCAUGGGCAGCAGGAGAGGCACCAGCGUCUCGUGAGAACUCAAAUCGGCUGAAUGUCCCAGGCUGAAGUGAGAAGAGGGAAGUUUCCACCCUGCCCCAUGGACAUCGCUUCUGAGUGGCCUCCCUCCUGCUCACAGACACCUCUGAGAUUUCCUGGCUGACACAUCGCAUCUCCCUGUGGCCACAGCCAAGCAACACCAGAUGUCUGCAGUAGCAGCAACACUUUGGAUUCCUGAUGGAAAACCCUAAGACGAGCCUCUGUGAAAUACCUGCUUCAUUUUGGCUUCAUUUUCAUGCCUUGUUAUCUGACCCAUUUACUUCUUACCUCAGGGCACAGACCACGGCUGUGACACUCUGUAAAACCCUGUGGGAUGGGGAAAAGUAAAAAUGACACACCCCGGC